rnacentral:rRNA from 1 species
GCUUACGGCCAUACCACCCUGAGAACGCCCGAUCUCGUCUGAUCUCGGAUGCUAAGCAGGGUCGGGCCUGGUUAGUACUUGGAUGGGAGACCGCCUGGGAAUACCAGGUGCUGUAAGCU